rnacentral:rRNA from 1 species
GACGAACGCUGGCGGCGUGCCUAACACAUGCAAGUCGAACGGAGCUCCUUCGGGGGCUUAGUGGCGAACGGGUGAGUAACGCGUGAGAAACCUGCCUUUCAGUGGGGGAUAGCGGUUGGAAACGACCGGUAAUACCGCAUAAUGUUAUUUGGGGGCAUCCCUGGAUAACCAAAGAUUUAUUGCUGAAAGAUGGUCUCGCGUCUGAUUAGCUAGUUGGUGAGGUAGCGGCUCACCAAGGCGACGAUCAGUAGCCGGUCUGAGAGGAUGAACGGCCACAUUGGGACUGAGAUACGGCCCAGACUCCUACGGGAGGCAGCAGUGGGGAAUAUUGGGCAAUGGGGGAAACCCUGACCCAGCAACGCCGCGUGAAGGAAGAAGGCCUUCGGGUUGUAAACUUCUUUUACCAGGGACGAACACAAUGACGGUACCUGGAGAAAAAGCAACGGCUAACUACGUGCCAGCCGCCGCAGUAACAC